rnacentral:rRNA from 1 species
UACGAAGGGGGCUAGCGUUGCUCGGAAUUACUGGGCUUAAAGGGUGCGUAGGCGGUGCGGAAAGUUGGGUGUGAAAUCCCUCGGCUCAACCGAGGAACUGCGCCCAAAACUACCGUACUUGAGGAAGAUAGAGGUGAGCGGAACUCACGGUGGAGCGGUGAAAUGCGUUGAUAUCGUGAGGAACACCCGUGGCGAAAGCGGCUCACUGGGUCUUUUCUGACGCUGAUGCACGAAAGCUAGGGGAGCAAACGGG